CCUAGCGCAGUGACCACCUGCACAUUCCGCAUGCCGGGCGCGCGCAUGCCGGCGCGAUCGGGAUCCUCGGGGUUUCCGUGUGGUAUGCCGUUCAUGGGCUGUCGGUCAUCUCGCGGACUCAGGGAUGAUAUAAGCUCAUGCGCCCCAUCGUCCGAGGACGGUUUUGCCUAACGCCAGGAACUAGAGCAGGGGAGGGUUGUGCCGCUGCGCGAUUCAUCAUUCACAGGGACGAUUGGCGAACAGGGGAGUGUGCGCGGGAGAAGUGGGUAACGAGUCGAGGAAGCCAUGGGAACCGGGAAGCCGGAUUUGACCGAGAAUUUCUCAUCGGAAUUCAGCGUCGCCGCGGACUCGUUUCGGCGGAUCGACGAGCACCUCACCACUUCUAUUAUGGAGAAGAACAAGGCGUCCAUUAGGAGCCGUACAACGAGGAGUAUGAUUUGAUCUAGGUGGCGUCUCUCAGUCAGCUUUAUGGUGCCUUGGAUGGACUCUUAGUUCGUUUUAUAUUUAUAAUUUAUUUUUGUAACAAUUCCGCUAUGUAAUAAUCACUUUCAUGAUAUUGUGACAUUUGUCUCUAUACACUCUGUUAUUAUAUGUGUU